AUUGAACGCUGGCGGCAGGCCUAACACAUGCAAGUCGAGCGGAUGAAGGGAGCUUGCUCCUGGAUUCAGCGGCGGACGGGUGAGUAAUGCAUAGGAAUCUGCCUGGUAGUUGGGGAUAACGUCCGGAAACGGGCGCUAAUACCGCAUACGUCCUGAGGGAGAAAGUGGGGGAUCUUCAGACCUCACGCUAUCAGAUGAGCCUAGGUCGGAUUAGCUAGUUGGUGGGGUAAAGGCCUACCAAGGCGACGAUCCGUAACUGGUCUGAGAGGAUGAUCAGUCACACUGGAACUGAGACACGGUCCAGACUCCUACGGGAGGCAGCAGUGGGGAAUAUUGGACAAUGGGCGAAAGCCUGAUCCAGCCAUGCCGCGUGUGUGAAGAAGGUCUUCGGAUUGUAAAGCACUUUAAGUUGGGAGGAAGGGCAGUAAGUUAAUACCUUGCUGUUUUGACGUUACCAACAGAAUAAGCACCGGCUAACUUCGUG
rnacentral:rRNA from 1 species